GGGCCGGUAGAUCAGAUGGUAGAUCACUCGCUUGGCAUGCGAGAGGCCUCGGGUUCAAAUCCCGACCGGUCCA
rnacentral:tRNA from 1 species